ensembl:piRNA 21ur-5576 ncRNA
UUCACAAAAAAGAGAUUUGAA